GAUGAAGAACGUAGCAAAAUGCGAUAAGUAAUGUGAAUUGCAGAAUUCAGUGAAUCAUCGAAUCUUUGAACGCACAUUGCGCCCGCUAGUAUUCUGGCGGGCAUGCCUGUCCGAGCGUCAUUUCAACCCAUCAAGCUUAGCGCUUGUGUUGGAGCCCUGCGGCCGCCGCAGCCUCCUAAAAUCAGUGGCGGGCUCGCUAUCACGCUGAGUGCAGUAGUAUUCUUCUCACUCCUGUGGUGUAGCGGGUAACCAGCCGUAAACCCCCCCAUCUAUAAAGGUUGACCUCGGAUCAGGUAGGAAUACCCGCUGAACUUAAGCAUAUCAAUAAGCGGAGGA
rnacentral:misc_RNA from 1 species